CAAAUACUUUCUCCGUUCCGAAUUACUUGUUGCAGGUAUGGAUGUAUCUAGAUGUAUUUUAGUUUUAGAUACAUCUAUUUCUAUGACAAGUAAUUUGGAACGGUGGGAGUAUUUU
rnacentral:pre_miRNA from 1 species